rnacentral:rRNA from 1 species
UGGGGGAUAUUGCGCAAUGGGGGCAACCCUGACGCAGCAACGCCGCGUGAAGGAUGAAGGUUUUCGGAUUGUAAACUUCUUUUAUUAAGGACGAAACUUGACGGUACUUAAUGAAUAAGCUCCGGCUAACUACGUGCCAGCAGCCGCGGUAAUACGUAGGGAGCAAGCGUUGUCCGGAUUUACUGGGUGUAAAGGGUGCGUAGGCGGCUUUGCAAGUCAGAUGUGAAAUCUAUGGGCUCAACCCAUAAACUGCAUUUGAAACUGUAGAGCUUGAGUGAAGUAGAGGCAGGCGGAAUUCCCCGUGUAGCGGUGAAAUGCGUAGAGAUGGGGAGGAACACCAGUGGCGAAGGCGGCCUGCUGGGCUUUAACUGACGCUGAGGCACGAAAGCGUGGGUAGCAAACAGGAUUAGAUACCCUGGUAGUCCACGCUGUAAACGAUGGAUACUAGGUGUGCGGGGACUGACCCCCUGCGUGCCGCAGUUAACACAAUAAGUAUCUCACCUGGGGAGUACGAUCGCAAGGUUGAAACUCAAAGGAAUUGACGGGGGCCCGCACAAGCGGUGGAUUAUGUGGUUUAAUUCGAAGCAACGCGAAGAACCUUACCAGGGCUUGACAUCCUACUAACGAAGUAGAGAUACAUCAGGUGCCCUUCGGGGAAAGUAGAGACAGGUGGUGCAUGGUUGUCGUCAGCUCGUGUCGUGAGAUGUUGGGUUAAGUCCCGCAACGAGCGCAACCCCUAUUGUUAGUUGCUACGCAAGAGCACUCUAGCGAGACUGCCGUUGACAAAACGGAGGAAGGUGGGGACGACGUCAAAUCAUCAUGCCCCUUAUGUCCUGGGCUACACACGUAAUACAAUGGCGGUCAACAGAGGGAGGCAAAGCCGCGAGGCAGAGCAAACCCCCAAAAGCCGUCCCAGUUCGGAUCGCAGGCUGCAACCCGCCUGCGUGAAGUCGGAAUCGCUAGUAAUCGCGGAUCAGCAUGCCGCGGUGAAUACGUUCCC